rnacentral:rRNA from 1 species
UACGAAGGGGGCAAGCGUUGUUCGGAAUCAUUGGGCGUAAAGGGCGCGUAGGCGGACCUAUAAGUCGAUUGUGAAAUCCCUGGGCUUAACCCGGGAAUUGCAGUCGAAACUGCAGAGCUUGAGUUCUCAAGAGGAUAGUGGAAUUCCUGGAGUAGUAGUGAAAUACGUAGAUAUCAGGAGGAACACCGGCGGCGAAGGCGGCCAUCUGGUGAGACACUGACGCUGAGGCGCGAAAGCGUGGGGAGCAAACAGG